rnacentral:tRNA from 1 species
UGGGCUAUAGCUCAGUUCGGUAGAGCGCCGCACUGUUAAUGCGGUGGUCCCUGGUUCGAGGCCAGGUAGUCCAGC